rnacentral:lncRNA from 1 species
AUGCGUAACAAACGAAAGCGGAUGAGGAAGGGGGCCGCAAGGCAGGGUUUCCGUGAGUCGGACAUGCGGGAGGCCGUGCGGAUGGUCAUCAAGGACGGGGUCCCCAUGAGGAAGGUCCUCAAGAUGAAGAACGUCAAGCGGUCCACGCUCAAUCGCUAUGUGAAGCUGGCCAAGGCGAACCCCUCGGCGAAAAUCCACAUGAACGCCCACCACGGUCAGAAGAUCCUCAAAUCGGACCGCCACGAGGAUGCUUUCAUCGAGCUCAUGAUCACGUGCUCCAGGUGGUUCCCGGGUCUGAACUUCCAGAACUUCCAGAAACUAGCUCUCCGUCUGGGAUUGGAUCGCGGAGUGAAGUUUCCAAAGUCCUACAUGGACGCCGGGAUGGCCGGGAGAUACUGGUUGGAGGGAUUCGUCGAGAAGACCCUUACGACCCUCUCUCAGCGCGCCACGGACUUCCCGACCCUCCUGGAGGGACUGCGCCUCACCAAACCCGGAAUGUCGACCGUUUCCAUGACUCUUCACGCCGUCGCUAAGCGCUACCCACAGCUCACCGAGGCCAAAAUCCUCAACCUCAAUGAAAUUCAGGUGACCUCGCCGGAAGGGAUCCCUGUAACCUCGUGCCACAUCGUUUCCGCGGACGGGUCGACCCUGGCGCCUGUCCGGGCCUUCCCGAAGGACCACUUCAAGCCGCGCCCGGGGGACGAAGCCCUGAACCUGGCCAACCCCCGCAAGGACACCCUCGACCCCGAGAUCUUCGCCGAGGUCAUCAAACACAUCGCCCGACUCACCAAGUCCUCCGUCGACGAACCGGCCUUGGUCGUCAUGGACGACAACGACUGGCACCUGUCGCUCGAGGCCAUCGAAGCGGCCAAGAACAACGGCGUCGUCAUGCUCGCAGUACCCGCCCACCUCAGCGCCCGCGUCCAGGCCCUCGAGUCGCUCACAACCAGGUUCCUCGAGGUCUACAACGAGGCUGUCCGAGACUCCCUCCAGAGGGCGCUCACUGUCGAAAGUAUGACGCGUUUCCUGGAUGUUGCUGCCGAGGAGGUCUUCACCAAGGAGGCGGUGCGGGAUGCGUUUGUGAUGUCGGAGCUGUAUCGGUUGACGAAGAAUUGUGGGAGGCAGCCGGAAGCGGACCAGGAGACUGAAGCCGAUGGUGCGGUUGUUCUUUUGGUUGGUGUGGACGACUUGUCUGAUUGUGAGCAAGACCCCUUGAGCCCUGCUUCGUCUGGUGGAGAUGAGGAUGAUGCGACCGGCUUAGAUCUUAUGACGUUUCCGGAUGAUUUCUUCGCGUGA